AUUGAACGCUGGCGGCAGGCCUAACACAUGCAAGUCGAGCGGCAGCGGAAAGUAGCUUGCUACUUUGCCGGCGAGCGGCGGACGGGUGAGUAAUGUCUGGGAAACUGCCUGAUGGAGGGGGAUAACUACUGGAAACGGUAGCUAAUACCGCAUAAUGUUGCAAGACCAAAGAGGGGGACCUUCGGGCCUCUUGCCAUCAGAUGUGCCCAGAUGGGAUUAGCUAGUAGGUGGGGUAACGGCUCACCUAGGCGACGAUCCCUAGCUGGUCUGAGAGGAUGACCAGCCACACUGGAACUGAGACACGGUCCAGACUCCUACGGGAGGCAGCAGUGGGGAAUAUUGCACAAUGGGCGCAAGCCUGAUGCAGCCAUGCCGCGUGUAUGAAGAAGGCCUUCGGGUUGUAAAGUACUUUCAGCGGGGAGGAAGGUGCUGAGGUUAAUAACCUCAGCAAUUGACGUUACCCGCGGAAGAAGCACCGGCUAACUCCGUGCCAGCCGCCGCAGUAA
rnacentral:rRNA from 1 species